rnacentral:rRNA from 1 species
UACGGGGGGGGCAAGCGUUGUUCGGAAUUACUGGGCGUAAAGGGCUCGUAGGCGGCCAACUAAGUCGGACGUGAAAUCCCUCGGCUUAACCGGGGAACUGCGUCCGAUACUGGAUGGCUUGAGUUUGGGAGAGGGAUGCGGAAUUCCAGGUGUAGCGGUGAAAUGCGUAGAUAUCAGGAAGAACACCCGUGGCUAAGGCGGCUCUCUAGUACGGUACUGACGCUGAGACGCGAAAAGCGUGGGGGAGCGAACAGG